rnacentral:ribozyme from 13 species
UAUAUUCCUUUGUGUGUUUAUAUUCCUUUUGUUUAUUUCUUUUUUAUUUGCCUUUCCUUCUUCUUCUUUGUCUGCGUUAUCUUG